rnacentral:lncRNA from 1 species
ACUUGGCUCACUCUUCACAUUUCUUGCAAAUUCUACUGCUUAUUUCAUUAACAUCUUUAGUGGAUUCUGUUUUUUUUUUUUUUUUUUCCUUCUUUCUCUACGUAGCCCUGGCUGGCCUGAAAUUUGCUCUGUAGACCAGGCUGGCCUCAAACUCAGAUCUCUCUGCCCCUACCUCCCAAGUGCUGGGAUUAAAGAUGUACACCACCAUGGCCCGCUUUUUAGUGGAUUUUAACAUGUUGUUUCUUGCAUUCUGGUAUCAUUCAUUUAAUUUCUGAAUUCAUGGACAAGCUGCUCAGCUCUUUAUUUCUCAGUUUAUGUUGUCCAUUGCUUUGCAGGAAGUAAGACAGCUUCUCCCUGAUGGUCUUGGCUGUCCUACUGGGUGCUCUGCUGCUGGCCUGCAGUUUUGAUAAUAACAUCCUUAACUUCUGGGCUUUGUAAGGACUCAAGGCUGAGACUUGGUCUCUCCUCAUCAUCAGACAUGGGGAAUGAUGCUUCAGGUCCCAGGGCCUUGGCCCAGAGGACAGUGCUGGUCUCUCACCGCUGACUGAACCCUUUAUUGUUAGAUACCUCCUGCUUUUGUGAUUUAAUCAAAGCAGCCUGCAUUGUGUUCUCUGAAAUGAAAUGCAUAAACAUCAAUGUCUGCACACAGAGGUGUUGUGGCCAGCUCAAAGAGAAGCCCACCUAGCUGGCAUGGGCAGAGCAUGGGCAGCACUCAGCCCACGUGUCCACUGAGUCUUUCCUCUUUCUGUUCUGUUGUUGGCUGAGCUCCAGCUCUGCCAGGUCCGUGUCAGAUCCAGGAUGCAGGGCUGGGACAGGAGACUGCUGCUUACCCCCCCCCACCACCCCCCACCCUGUGGGGGUCUUUUUCUGACUCAAAUGCACUCUCUCUUCCCUCUCCCUCUUUUUUCUUAUAUGGACCAAACUUGCCUUGAACUUGCAAUGUAACUGAGGAUGAUCUCUCUUGGUCCGUAAUCCUUAAACCCCCAGCUGUCAAGUGAUGAGAUGACAGGUAUAUUCCACUGUGCCCAGUUUGUGCAGUGCUAGGAAUAGAACCGUGGGCCUUGGGCCUGCUUUGGCCUUCGAUCCAUUUCCCUCACCAUUCUCAGCCCUGUCUGUAGCUCACCCAGCUCAUCUCUGGUUUCUUCUGUGAGUUCUUCCUAUGGAGAGCUUGCCUUUCCUUGCCCUGCCCAGCUGAAAGCUUUCUCCUUCCCGAAUUCCCCCAGUGCCGGCCUCUGAUCUGACAUCUGCUUUGUUUACUGUUAAUUGGCGGCACAUACUCCCCUCUCACCCUCUGGGCGGAUGCUUUACCUCAUUAUCCUGCUGUCUCUGAGAUCUUGCUCCCUUAUAGUCAAGAAAUCCUUGUUCAGAUUAGUUUUGUUUAUGGGGUUUGUAGAGGGCUCUGCCACUCCCCCCUUGGAGUCAUGAUAGUCUAAAUUUCGCUUAUUAAUACUUACACUGACCUUGAAUUUCACUUUACAUACUCUUGUUUCUUUACUUUGAAAUAGGUAACUAAAUAGAAUGUAAGGUGUAGGCCAUAGCACCUUUAAAUUGAUAUGCCAGGCGGGAGGGGCUUUCCAGUCCUCAAUAGGUGGGAGAGGAUCUGCAGCUCAGCAGGGAGGGAGUGGCAGGUAGACCUGUUUCUCUUAGUCUUCCAGGGAGCGAGCACACUGGCUCUAUCUUUAGGCAUUCCAGUUUGGCUCACAAAAGUGUAUUAGGUUGCAAAUUUUUGUUUGUUUACUCCAAACUUUCCUUAAAUGUUCUGCACCUUAAUACAUCUGUGUCUUUCAAAGGAUUGUCAUCCCUAAAUUCAAAGUAAGCAAACAGAACAUGAGAAGAGACAUUGUCCGAUGGUUCAGUUAAGAGGUUCAGAGGCAGCCGGGCAGUGGUGGCUCAUGCCUUUAAUCCCAGCACUUGGGAGGCAGAGGCAGGCGGAUUUCUGAGUUCGAGGCCAGCCUGGUCUACAGAGUGAGUUCCAGGACAGCCUGGGCUACACAGAGAAACCCUGUCUCGAAAAAACCAAAAAACAAAAACAAGAUGUUCAGAGGCUGAUGGGAUAAAGCAGUAGGUAGGUCCUUGUGAAGCCAAACAUGGUGACUUAGGUAGGUUCUCAGUUCUCUCCCACCCCUCUCUUGCUGUCUGUCUCCGUCUCUUUCUCUGUCUCUCACUCUGGACACAACCAAUAUAAUUAAAAAAAAAAAAGAAUACAAGAUGUUCACAAGAGUUAUAGAAGAUUUGGGAGAACAGUAAAGUUUUUGGUAAGAAAGCAGUGUGCCCCCAGGGCUCUGCUGAGUCUCCACACUGUUGGUGAGAUGGCUUCUCGCCUCUUUCUAGCUGGGCUGACAUUUCCUUCUGUGUUUUGCACUAAUCAUUAAUAACUAUACUGUUGUCACAGCUCAAAACUUUCCCAUUGACACUUCAAUCAUUUUGUAAAGAUCUCAAAUGUUCAACCUUUACGAAGCUAACCUUUUGUACCCUAUUAAAAUGUAAGAACCGCUUGAUUCCCAGUGAAUGCCCUGGCUACUGGAUCAUGAAAGUGUUAGCUUGUGCCAAGGGCAUGAGGCAGUACACUUGUUCCCUUUUAACAAAUAAUAAGAAGUUUGACUUUUCAUUUACACAUCCUGCCAAUUGCUAACAAGUUUCCAUCUCGUUCAAACACCAGAUUGAUCCUAAGAAAUUGAAAAUAUUGAUUUAACCCUCCGCCUGGUUCCUACUGCAGGCACCUGCUAGUGCAGCCUUCGCACAUCGCAAUUGCUUGGCCGUAAUUCCUCAGGGGACCACUAAUAACUACCACAUCUGUCUUUUCAUCUUUCGAAAUUAUGCUAGCAGUUGUCCAAGUCAAUUGUGAUUCAUUUGAUAGUGCUCUCCUCCAAGACACACUGCAACCAAAUAGACUUGCUCACCAGUAAUAUAUCUGAUGACAUAGUUAGCUCUCGUUAAUUGACAGAAUGAUUCAGGCUUUUAUGGAUGGCAUUAAUUGGUCCCUCGUGUCCAUGUAAUAAUUGACCAGACAGAGGCAGCAGCAUUAGCUCUCAUCCAGCCAGAAGAGUUUGGAGAUGAGGUUAAUGUAGUAAGGAUGACAAAACGUCUGUAUUUUUAAUCAAGACUUUAUCAAUGAGUUGAAGG